rnacentral:rRNA from 1 species
GACGAACGCUGGCGGUGUGCUUCACACAUGCAAGUCGAACGGGGUAGCAAUACCCAGUGGCGGACGGGUGAGUAACGCGUAGGAAUCUGCCUUGAGAUGGGGGAUAACAGUCCGAAAGGACUGCUAAUACCGCAUAUGUAUGUAUCUCGACAGAGGUGUAUAUGAAAGGAGUAAUCCGUCUUAAGAUGAGCCUGCGUCCGAUUAGCUAGUUGGUAGGGUAAAAGCCUACCAAGGCGACGAUCGGUAGCUGGUCUGAGAGGAUGAUCAGCCACAAUGG